AAUCCACAAUUCCAAAGACAAAUGACAUGAUGACAUUUAAGUUUCAUCUUUAAUUAACGAAUGCAUCAUUUGUGGUUCAGUUACAUAUUUCCGUGUGUGUAUGCUAACUAUAAGAAAAAAUAAUUAAAAUAGGGUAUAAAUGAACGAUUCUGAAGCAGUAAAACAGUAUUCACUAGACAUUAUUCCAAUUAAUUCAAACAAAGAAAUUUAAAAGAAGAUGAGAUUCCAGACUGUUUUCUUUUCGUUGGCAUUGGUCACAGUGACAGUAGCCGUAUAUGCACCAAAUUCAGUUACACAUGGAGGGAAGGUGACUUUAACAGUCGAAAGCACACUUCGAAGAGACAUAACCGGGCGUCGUGGUGGCGAAUCUCUUUCUGUUUUGGACUUUAUCGAUGCAAAUAGACGGACAGGAUAAAGAGCUGUUGGAACAUCACAUGGAAUAGGCAAUGAAUUUAUAACACACGGGUCAUCAGUCAGUAGAGGAGCACAGUCUGGUGGCUCUUUUGGUGGUAGGACCUCUGCAUCUGAAAUCAUAAGAGGCUCUUCUGUUGGUUUGUCACUUGCUUUAUCUGACGAUGACAGUAACUGUCAUUAUGGAUGUGGAGGAGACAAAUUGUGUCGUUCAGGACAUAAAUGUGUUCAUGAUGGUUGUAGCAGUUACUGCGUCGACAUUUCUUCUGGGAGUAUAAUUGGUGCAUCACGAUUAUCGGACUCUAUAAACAGAGGUAACACGGUCUCAGAAAUAGUUAGAAGUUCAUCAUCUGGCUUGAACCGAGUUUCAAGUAAUGGUGGUCAUU